UACGUAGGGGGCAAGCGUUGUCCGGAUUUAUUGGGCGUAAAGGGCUCGUAGGCGGCCAACUAAGUCAGACGUGAAAUCCCUCGGCUUAACCGGGGAACUGCGUCUGAUACUGGAUGGCUUGAAUUCGGGAGAGGGAUGCGGAAUUCCAGGUGUAGCGGUGAAAUGCGUAGAUAUCUGGAGGAACACCGGUGGCGAAGGCGGCAUCCUGGACCAAUAUUGACGCUGAGGAGCGAAAGCUAGGGGAGCAAACGGGG
rnacentral:rRNA from 1 species